rnacentral:rRNA from 1 species
ACGCUCGACACCUACGGAGGCAGCAGUAGGGAAUCUUCCACAAUGGACGCAAGUCUGAUGGAGCAACGCCGCGUGAGUGAAGAAGGUCUUCGGAUCGUAAAACUCUGUUGUUAGAGAAGAACACGAGUGAGAGUAACUGUUCAUUCGAUGACGGUAUCUAACCAGCAAGUCACGGCUAAUUACGUGCCAACAGCCGCGGUAAUCUGAGCGGGCUGGCAAGGC